GACGAACGCUGGCGGCGUGCUUAACACAUGCAAGUCGAACGGAAAGGCCCUGCUUUUGUGGGGUGCUCGAGUGGCGAACGGGUGAGUAACACGUGAGUAACCUGCCCUUGACUUUGGGAUAACUUCAGGAAACUGGGGCUAAUACCGGAUAGGAGCUCCUGCUGCAUGGUGGGGGUUGGAAAGUUUCGGCGGUUGGGGAUGGACUCGCGGCUUAUCAGCUUGUUGGUGGGGUAGUGGCUUACCAAGGCUUUGACGGGUAGCCGGCCUGAGAGGGUGACCGGGCACAUUGGGACUGAGAUACGGCCCAGACUCCUACGGGAGGCAGCAGUGGGGAAUAUUGCACAAUGGGCGGGAGCCUGAUGCAGAAACGCCGCGUGCGGGAUGAAGGCCUUCGGGUUGUAAACCGCUUUAGCCUGUGACGAAGCGUGAGUGACGGUAAUGGGUAAAGAAGCACCGGCUAACUACGUG
rnacentral:rRNA from 1 species